rnacentral:rRNA from 1 species
UGAGGAAUAUUGGUCAAUGGGCGGGAGCCUGAACCAGCCAAGUCGCGUGAAGGAAGAAGGAUCUAUGGUUCGUAAACUUCUUUUGCAGGGGAAUAAAUGCAGGACGUGUCCUGUUUUGUAUGUACCCUGAGAAUAAGGAUCGGCUAACUCCGUGCCAGCAGCCGCGGUAAUACGGAGGAUCCGAGCGUUAUCCGGAUUUAUUGGGGUUAAAGGGUGGGUAGGUGGUUUGAUAAGUCAGCGGUGAAAGUUUGCAGCUUAACUGUAAAAAUGCCGUUGAAACUGUCGGACUUGAGUGUAAAUGAGGUCGGCGGAAUGCGUGGUGUAGCGGUGAAAUGCAUAGAUAUCACGCAGAACUCCGAUUGCGAAGGCAGCUUACUAAGCUACAACUGACACUGAAGCACGAAAGCGUGGGGAUCAAACA